CGGUGAAGCUCAGCUUGCUGGGUGGAUCAGUGGCGAACGGGUGAGUAACACGUGAGCAACCUGCCCCCUACUUCGGGAUAAGCCUUGGAAACGGGGUCUAAUACCGGAUAUGAACACUUGUCGCAUGGCGGGUGUUGGAAAGUUUUUCGGUGGGGGAUGGGCUCGCGGCCUAUCAGCUUGUUGGUGGGGUAAUGGCCUACCAAGGCGUCGACGGGUAGCCGGCCUGAGAGGGCGACCGGCCACACUGGGACUGAGACACGGCCCAGACUCCUACGGGAGGCAGCAGUGGGGAAUAUUGCACAAUGGGCGAAAGCCUGAUGCAGCGACGCCACGUGAGGGAUGACGGCCUUCGGGUUGUAAACCUCUUUCAGCAGGGAAGAAGCGAGAGUGACGGUACCUGCAGAAGAAGCGCCGGCUAACUACGUGCCAGCAGCCGCGGUAAUACGUAGGGCGCAAGCGUUGUCCGGAAUUAUUGGGCGUAAAGAGCUCGUAGGCGGUCUGUCGCGUCUGGUGUGAAAUCCCAUGGCUCAACUGUGGGCUUGCAUCGGGUACGGGCAGACUAGAGUGCUGUAGGGGAGACUGGAAUUCCUGGUGUAGCGGUGGAAUGCGCAGAUAUCAGGAGGAACACCGAUGGCGAAGGCAGGUCUCUGGGCAGUUACUGACGCUGAGGAGCGAAAGCAUGGGGAGCGAACAGGAUUAGAUACCCUGGUAGUCCAUGCCGUAAACGUUGGGCACUAGGUGUGGGGCGGGUUCCACUCGUUCUGUGCCGCAGCUAACGCAUUAAGUGCCCCGCCUGGGGAGUACGGCCGCAAGGCUAAAACUCAAAGGAAUUGACGGGGGCCCGCACAAGCGGCGGAGCAUGCGGAUUAAUUCGAUGCAACGCGAAGAACCUUACCAAGGCUUGACAUGUACGAGAAA
rnacentral:rRNA from 1 species